rnacentral:rRNA from 1 species
UACGAAGGGGGCUAGCGUUGCUCGGAAUGACUGGGCGUAAAGGGCGCGUAGGCGGAUGGCACAGUCAGAUGUGAAAUUCCCGGGCUUAACCUGGGGGCUGCAUUUGAUACGUGUGAUCUAGAGUGAGGAAGAGGGUCGUGGAAUUCCCAGUGUAGAGGUGAAAUUCGUAGAUAUUGGGAAGAACACCGGUGGCGAAGGCGGCGAGCUGGUCCAUUACUGACGCUGAGGCGCGACAGCGUGGGGAGGCAAA